ACAGAGGUCUCAAGCGUUGUUCGGAAUCACUGGGCGUAAAGGGUGCGUAGGUGGCGUGGUAAGUCAGAUGUGAGAGCCCGGGGCUCAACCUCGGAAUUGCAUCCGAUACUGCCAUGCUAGAGAAAUGGAGAGGAGUCUAGAAUUCACGGUGUAGCAGUGAAAUGCGUAGAUAUCGUGAGGAAUACCAACGGCGAAGGCAGGACUCUGGACAUUUUCUGACACUGAUGCACGAAGGCUAGGGUAGCGAACGGGAUUAGAUACCCCGGUAGUCCUAGCAGUAAACGGUGCACGCUUGGUGUGCGCGGGUUCGACCCCGUGCGUGCCGGAGCUAACGCGUUAAGCGUGCCGCCUGGGAAGUACGGUCGCAAGAUUA
rnacentral:rRNA from 1 species